AGUAGGGCUGGAUCAGGCGGAAGCCGGGGCCCGGGGCUGGGCUUCGUGUCCUGCGUUCCGGGAGCGCCAACCCCUCCAGCAGAGGGGACGUGGCUGGUGGCUGGAGAAGCUGGAUUUGCCCUUUGAUGGUGGCCCUCUUGAUCCCCGGCUUGCUGAAGUCAAAGGAGAGGCUGUCGAUGCUGAGGCACGAGAGAAUUUGCUCCUGCUCCUCCAGAGAAAAUGGCUGGGACAGGCUGUUGAGGAAUAAUUCUGCAGGGAAAAGUGGAAGAUGGCUGUGAAAGACUGGGAGGAGGCUGGCUGUGUUUUCAGGGGUUCUUCCUGCACAGUCGGUAGAAGCUGAGCUGCUGGGGAAGGGGCUGGAAGAAAGCCCACACCGCAGCUGCUGCAGUUCCUGCUCCGGGACGGUUGCUUUCCGCUCUGGUGAGCUGGGGUUUCUGGCAGGGGCUGGCUCCAG
ensembl:lncRNA MAP3K14-AS1 MAP3K14 antisense RNA 1